UAGUUGAAAAGAAAUCGCGCGCUUAUUCAGACGUGUCACGACAUUAGUUUGUACUUGUUCUGAAUAAAGCUUUUUGGUUCGUUCAGAAAAGCGAAAAUGCUUUUUUUUCCUUUGCGGACACGCGAAGCAUUUUAAUUGCUCAUUCGGGAUCCUAUAGAACGCGCUCAACACGUGGUCCUUGUAGUGCGCGGUCUAGUCCUUUUGACAAUAUCUAUUGAAAUGAUCUAUAACAAAUAUGUAUGCAUAAACACGAAGUAUUCAUCACGAAGUGUUAUGUUGCGUACGAUCCUUGAAGUUAAGCAACGUUGACGGUGGCUGAUAGUUGGAUGGGUGAUCACUUUUCGGGCGCAGAAAUUAAACAUGUUCUAACAGAUACGACUGUAGCUUGAAACAUGUAGUCUUCUCUCCCUUACAAAAUUAUCGUAGAAAUUAAAUGAUGCUAGAUUGGUAUCCUCAUUGGAUUCUUCUACAUUUACAGUCAGAAGUGAAUAAAAUUUUGGAGGAAGUAAAAGCUCAAAAAGUUAUUGAGGAGUCAAAUAGUCUAUGGAUUUUCCUGACUGUUUUAAUUAAAAGAAGGACGGAACAAUAAGAUUUUGUGCGGAUUAUCGGAUAUUGUUACAAUAAAAGAUCCUUAUCCACUUCCGAGGAUUAACAAUAUUUUGAAUUGUUUACCGGAGAAUUCAUGGUUUUACACUCUCGAUUUGAAAAGUGGAUAUUGGCAGGUAAGCUUAGAUUCUAAAAGUUGAGAAAAAACUGCAUUUUUUAUUGGAAACAAUUUGUGGCAAUUAACAGUUAUGCCUUUCGUUCUUUGCAACGCUCCUGCGACUUUUGAACGUCUAAUUAGCUUUUUACUUUUCUUAUUCGCAUGUUUAUUUUUUGUACAAUAAUACAAAUAUAUUUAAAAAGAAAUAUCGAUGGAA
rnacentral:lncRNA from 1 species